UGUGUAGGCGGUUCUUUAAGUUUGGUGUGAAAUCUCCCGGCUCAACCGGGGGGGUGCGCCGAAUACUGAGGGACUCGAGUGCGGGAGAGGAAAGUGGAAUUCCUGGUGUAGCGGUGAAAUGCGUAGAUAUCAGGAGGAACACCGGUGGUGUAGACGGCUUUCUGGACCGUAACUGACGCUGAGACACGAAAGCGUGGGUAGCAAACA
rnacentral:rRNA from 1 species